AGUGGCGGGGUUCUCGCCGGUCCUGCGGGUCGCUGCUUGGCUGUGGGUUAGCAGCACCCUGAGCGGAGCGGAAGAGCUGCCCGCCGCCGCGUAACCCCGAGGCCGAGACUCCUGGCCUGGCCUCCUUGGGCCCACGACGCCUGCCCCGCGGAGCGGACCCAUGGGCCUGAGGUUUGUGUGCGGGGCCUCAGGCGAGCGCUGGCGCAGCCUGUCCCCCAUCGUCUGCGCCCUGCGGGCCUGGCCCUCCCCGUGGAAGGACCGCGGGCUUCGGGGCCCCACGCUGGGGGGCUGACUCCUGCCACACACACAGCGGUGGCCGCGGGCCUGGGGCGGCAGCACAGCCAUUCUGCUCGGGCUGCGUGAGCUGACCCCGCUCUCUGUGCACCUACUUUUGCUGCGUUUGGUGCUGAGCCUGAAGUCCCAGGACAGGCGGCUGAGGGGGAAAGAUGGUGUGAAUUGGGUGGGCAGAGACAACUGAAAGCCACAGGACCCGGUUGGCACCUUUUUGGCCGCCUGCGCCUUUGCCUGCAGCCCCGCUCCCUGGGUCACCCGAAGGAGGAGCUGGCGCUCUUUCCGGGCGCAGAAGCACCCGACCCACGCUGGAGGAAACGGUCCCUCUGGGCAGGAGAAGCUUUGGGCCUGGCUGGAGCACACUCACGGAACCACGCCAACGCCUGGCCUGUAGCCAGCUCCCACCUCCCCUCCCACCUUCUAAAAUGCUUGCGGAUCUCACGUGGCCGACCCUAACCAGAUACACAUGGGGAAAGGAAUCAGGUGGCACACAUACCGCCUUUACUCCAUAGAGAACUUCCAAUUGUGGGUAAGAACAAAGCCCCACCUCUUCCUAAUAGAUGCAGUUUUCCACCUGCAGCCAAAAAGACAACCUGUUAUUAGCUUUUUUCCCAGAGGACAGGCAUCUCUAUGAAACUGCCAUUGCAAAAUUUGCCGACAGUGAGAUAACCAGCUCCAUUUUGCUUCUAACCUCCAUGCCCUCCUUGUUUACUGCUGCACGCAGGUUGAACUGUGGGAGGAACUUAGUUUAAAACAAAGAUGAUAACAGCCCUUUCCCAAAGGAAACCUUUCCUGGGGAUUAGCCUGCUUUUGUGGGACCAACAGAUUAGCCACAAGAUUAGAAACUACGGUUGAAGAGUCACGCAGCGGGAGGCUACAGGAUUCUGACCCUCCCCAAACUGCUCCUGGCGAUAACAUCACCAUCGUAAAGCCUAAGAUCAGCACUUGGUGGGUCACCUGGCACCACCCAGGCUCAUCUGAUGUUGUGGCACCCAGGAACUGACUCAGUGCGAAAACAGCUUCGACUCCCUGUGAUUUCAUCUCUGACCUGACCAAUGGGUACUUCUGACUCACUGGCUGCCCCCCACCCACCAGCUUAUCUUUAAAAACUCCAAACCCCAGAUGCUCAGGGAGACCGAGUAAUAAUAAAACUCCAGUCUCCCACACAGCUAGCUCUGCGUGAAUUACCUUUUCUCUGUUGCAAAUGCCCUUUCUUGAUAAAUUGGCUGUCUAGGUAACAGGGAAGGUGAACCCACUGGGCAGUUACACUUUUAUCCACCCUUCCAGCUGGAUCACGCGCCCUCUUCAAUGACAUGACACGCAGCUAGAGUGUAUGAGCUUGCUGCCGGCACCUUCCGUCCUGGAUCGCAUAGCAAGGCCUCAAUGGACAGCCAGGUGCCUGGUCCGGUCCCACUUUUUUUUCUGUCCUGUUCUCGUUUCCUCUUUGCUUGGCCAAAGAGGGUUGGGCCAGGGUCCUGAGUGCAAAGGCUUGGCUUGGUGAAUUAAAGUGGCAGUAGCCGUGUGGCAGAGAAAAUUUGUAGAUGGGUGAAAUCCUGGGCCUACACAGUGACAAAGUGUAUAUAGACAGCCAGCCUAGUUGGUGGAUGUGACAACCCCAGACUCUUCUAGAUUUGUGGAUCCGUGCACCUGCCAGACCUGUCUCUGAGCCAUCUGGGGAGGCUGGGUCGGCACAGACGCAACCCAGUCUCCUCCCACCUCCGAGAGUGCAGUGUCCUGAAUGGAGAACCCCAGCACCCAGAAGCAUCCACUGAAGGACGUGUGUCCUGGAACCCUGGCUGCACCCACAGAUACAGCCACUCCUGGGCCCAUGUGGAUGUAACCUUCGAGUGCCGGAAUGCCUCGUCUCCAUGGAGACCAAACUCAAGGGCCUGACUGGCCCAGUCUACCGAGACCAUGAGACCUGCUGUGCCCCUCGGCCAGGCCAACCCAAAUUCUUUUAAAUAAAAGGCACAAGCCACAGCCACACCAGCAGGAAGUGGAUACAGGAUAAGGGGCAGGGCUCACAUCUCAUCCUCAUCAGCCUUUGACCAGGCGACGGAGUCUGUGAUAGCUAGCUUAUCUGCUCUAUGCUCCAGGGACCUGGCCGGAACGAGCCGAGUUGCUGUCCUCAUGGAACUCUCAUCCUAGUGGGGCAGAGACAAGGACGGUGUAACGUGCCCGGGGGUCAGCACCACAGACAAAACGCAGGGAGCACGGCACAGUGUGGGCCAGGGAAGGCCUGGCUUCCCAAGGGUGUGGGCGCGAGCAGCAUGGCUGUGGGGAGUUCUAGGUGCAGAGAACUACUCCAGAGACGAAGCCAGGCCUGCGAGGAGGCCGGAGCGCAUGAGGGGAAGGCACGAGGCAAGGCUGCCAGGGCUGUGCUGGUGGUGCGGGACGGUCCUGUGGGGGUAGCUGCGGAGAUGGCACUGAUGCCUUCGGCUCCAGCAGCAUCCUGGGCUGGUGCGGGCCAAUAAGGGGCAGGGUUGGGGCAGGAUGAAAGGCACAAGCCACAGCCAUGUCAAGCAGGAAGUGGAUGCAGGGUACAGCCUGUCAGGGUCAGGGUGAAAGGCAGGGAGGCGGGUAGGCCAUAGGUGAAUUUGGAGCAGCCUGUAGAGGACAGGAUGUGCCAUCAAAGACUUGUUCUUGGGUCCAGCUGAGACUGUCCCUUGGGGCUUCCUGUCACCUUGUGCAGGAUAGUGAGACCAUCCUUGGAAAACCCAUCGGGACUGCAGAGCGCGGCUCAGAGCUGACUGUCCAGGCCUGGCAGGGGCUGACCCCUGGGCGCUGGUGCACCCUCCGUGCGGCCUCUUGGAGGAAGCACACAAGGCGACAGUUCCCAGCUGCCGCCUGAGAUGCAGCAUCUGCUUUACUCCAGCCCAGCACUGCUCACCGUCACUGCCCACUCUUAUGAUUUUACUUCCCUUCAUAUUUGUGAUUUUGCAAAGAUGGUGUUGACUUACAGCUGCAGCAUCAAAUGACUGACUGCCACCAGCUUGGCCCCAGCUCAGGGACAUGUCUGAGCCCAGGCAGAGCACCCUAGUGGCCGGGAAGCCUCACCUGGAGCUCCUGCGGGUGGCUGCAGUCCGCCAGGUGAUCCGUGAGGAGGGCUUGGAGAGGCCCCAUGAUGGCGUGGAAGGAUGGCAGGGACCCGUACAUGAGCACGCAGCGCUUCAGCAGGGCCAGGCCCACAGCCAGGCAGGACAGUCUGUGAGGGCAGGAGGCAAGAGGAGGUCCAACUUGUUCUGUUUGUCACUGACAAAACCAAUAACGUGGCAAAAAUGAACUUCCCCACUUCCACUAGGCUGAAAACUCCAGUGUGGCCACCUUGGCCGGCCAGGGUUGGGCCCAUGCAACCACGGGCAAGGCAGGCUCAGGGUCAGGCCUAACGCAGGAGGGGAGGCUGUGGGAACCGCAGCGCCAGCUGGGAUGGGGCGGCUCCAUUUUUGGUUCCAAAUUAUGAUUUGUGAAAUCAAGCAAAUGUAUUUUGAAAAUGAAAAGAAAAAGGGACAGCAAGCCAACAUGCCUCA
rnacentral:lncRNA from 1 species